AGGCUCGGCCUCGCCCAGCCAUGGCGAGGUUGAGCGUCGCUAGAUCUGGCGACGGCCGCCUCGCCGUCGCUGGGCAAGGCUCGCCUC
rnacentral:pre_miRNA from 1 species